rnacentral:rRNA from 1 species
UACAGAGGUCCCAAGCGUUGUUCGGAUUCAUUGGGCGUAAAGGGUGCGUAGGUGGCGCCGUAAGUCGGGUGUGAAAUUUCGGAGCUUAACUCCGAAACUGCAUUCGAUACUGCGGUGCUUGAGGACUGGAGAGGAGACUGGAAUUCAUGGUGUAGCAGUGAAAUGCGUAGAGAUCAUGAGGAACACCAGUGGCGAAGGCGGCUACCUGGACCGGUUCUGACGCUGAGGCGCGAAAGCGUGGGGAGCGAACAGG